CAAGUUUAGAAUCAAACUUUUAGAACCAAUCAGGAGGCUCGCUUUGUUCCAAUUCCUGGAGCUCCUUUCGGCUGCACUCGGCUUUUCUCGGCAGUUGCAUCGUUUCUCAGCAUCGAGCAGCAGCAGCAGCGGCGGACCGACGCUUUUCAUCACGCUUUGCAGCCUUCGUGUCGUCACGGCGUUCUCUGUCUGGGUGGAGAUGCAGGCUGCGUUGAAGAAGCUCAGCUCCUCAGCUAAGCCUGCAGCUCCAGCAGAAACCAGAGACCAGCUCCUCCCGCCCAGGCCCCUGUGGAGCCCAGCGAUGAAGAGCUGAUGAGGGCCAGUGGCGACAUGAGGAAGUGUGAGUAAAGUGACCAAUCAGACGUACCGUUGACUAAAAUGCUGCAACACAUGCUGACGAUUUUUCUCCCGUUUUAUUUCUCAAAUAUUGUCAAAAUCAGACGAACCUGAGGUGAAACACCAAGUGUUGACUCAAUAAAUCAUUUUCUUGAGGCCAGUAGCUGUAGCUCAUCACUAACUGGGUUGGUGCCGCUCACCUGUCAGAUCCUCAUCCAGCACCUGUAGAUUAACUCCACCUGCCUGUUUGCUGUCUCUCACACCUCCACCUGAACCACUUCAUCCCAGGGACGUCUGCCAGUGGCAGGAACUUCCAGGCCUUCAUCGUGGAUUGAGUGGUGAGGUGGAACCAGGAUGGAGCAGCGGCUGCUGCGCCUGUGGAUGCCGCUGAGGAGAAGACGUCUCUGCUGUCCUACAGCGGCCGCCUCAACCAGAAGAGCCAAAGGUGCUUGAACCUGAGCUGGUUGAGGAUCUCACCAAGCCUGCUGCGUACACAGGAGAACUCAUCAGACUUGAGUUCCUAUUUACGCAGACAGGAAACGUGUUUGAGGACGUCAGCGUGGAUCCUGACACCCCGGAUGAGAGCGCUGCUGUUUCUUUACUGAAGGAGGAG